GAUCCUGGCUCAGAUUGAACGCUGGCGGCAGGCCUAACACAUGCAAGUCGAGCGGUAGCACAGAGAGCUUGCUCUCGGGUGACGAGCGGGCGGACGGGUGAGUAAUGUCUGGGAAACUGCCUGAUGGAGGGGGAUAACUACUGGAAACGGUAGCUAAUACCGCAUAACGUCGCAAGACCAAAGUGGGGGGACCUUCGGGCCUCGAAUGCCAUCAGAUGUGCCCAGAUGGGGAUUAAG
rnacentral:rRNA from 1 species